AGUGAAAAUUUAUGAAUCUAAUUUGUGUUUUAUUAAUAUUAGAACGUAAUAAAACGCCUUUGGGGUCCACUGAUGGAUCGCAGUGUCACUCUGUGCAGCGCGAUAUAAAUGACUGCAAGUCUGUUUACACCUCCAAGUGUUUGUUUGCGGCCCGGCGAUGAGCAUUUUCCACUCCUGGUGAGCGAGACGCCCGCGUCUGCGUUAAUCGAAGCGCUGCACGCGCAUUUAACGACGCCUUGCAGCUGCACUUAUUUUAACAUCAAAAAAUUGAGAACCUGUUCACAGAAUGUCCAAAAAUGCACAGAAUUUCAAGUGCCAUCGAACUGAUAUCUUAUUCGAUCAUUGCACCGAUGAUAUCAUCAAAACACGAAACUCGCAGCCGAAAUUUACAAACAUUGUCGAUGUUGAGUUUAACAACUCAAUUGUUUAAAAAUUUCGAUUGUUCUUCAUUCCCUGGAUUGUUUACAGGUAGGUGAGUUUAUAGUCGCACUAAAAAGGUAUUAAUUGAAUUAAAAACAUCACGAAAAAUGGGUUCGACCCAUGGGUACACCCAUUUUUGCGCGCUGGACGUGUCAGCGGGCGUUUGCUGGGUAUAUUGAUGGCAUUUUUUGCCGGCCACGAUAUGCACUCUUCACCCAUGUGCGAUGGGGCAAUCUGCGGUCGAUCAAUAAUAAAGCAAACACAGCCGAAUUGUAAAAAAAGUGCAUCGAUGGGUGUUUGGGCGCCUUUUGUUCCUGUUUAAUGGUGCAAACGUGCAGACGCGCGAACGUGAGAACGCCGCCGCACGAUUCCAGUGUUGCGGCAUCGAGAAGCGUAAUUUGUUUGCUCAUUUAUCUGCAUCCAAAGGUUAACUAACAUUCGACCAUAAUUGCACCAACAAUGGGUGAAAAUGCCAAAAAUUACAUACUUAUAAAAAUCAUCACCUACAACGCAGCAAAAGCAAUUCUAUUAGGUUUUUUAGUUAAAAAAAUACAAAAAGCAAUAAAUUAUGAUUAAUUAACGAUUAUAUUCUCUUAAUUAUAAAGUUCCGUAUCGCACGCAGUUAAUUUGCGUUAGUAGAGCAUAUUUUCGAGAAGUUUUCUUCCUAGAACGCCGUCGAAUCGCGUGCUGUGCACAAAUCUCCGGAUGCAGCGUUGCGAUGAGCAGCUGCACGCCAUUUCUCAACAAUUCCGAGAGAUUAACAUGAAAAAUCUGCGCAUAUUUCUCCACAUUUCCGAUUUGUGCAUUUCUAGGAUUAUCACUUCGAGCGCUCGACCAUUUGAUUUGCAUUGCAGAUGAACCCACAAUACGCAUUCUACAUUCAAUAUUCCAGCCGAUUGCGAAACGCAUUGUGCUCGCUUCGAGGCGCGAUUGUGAAUUGUUUGAUUGCCUUAUUGCCGCUAUUUAAACGCCGAAGAAUUCAUCUUUUCAUAAUCGAACACCACGCAAAAUAUUCCAUCUCGUUUGGUAUUCAUUAAUACGAAUUACAAUAGAAACAAAAUACUGAUUCUAAUUCCAAUUCUAAUUGUCAAUGCAGUGGAGAUCUUUCUCUCCUGUCGGAAUAUGUGUCACGUAGUGCGAUUGUUUCAAUUUCAAUUUGUUGAGAUGCGAUGAGAUGUGUUAUUACCGGUUGAUUCAUCUCGCAUAAAUUUCGAUUAAAUGUCAUCGAUUACUUAAACGCCUGACGAAAUGUACGUUCUAAAAUCGUUUGCGGAUGCGACCGAGAAGACGAAACGACCUUUGCGUUAAUUUUUUCAUGUGAAACCAGAUUCGAUUUCGUUUAUAUUACCGAUAAAAUUAUGUGAUGCUUAUUUUCGUUUUGCUUUGAAUCAUGAUGAUUGGUCGGUUACACAUUAAAAUUCUUCCGAAAAAAUAAGUGGGUCAAGACUAGUGCAUCACACUAAUUGGAUAAUUAAUAUGAAACUGUGUCGCUGGUCUUCGUGCUUCAAAUUAACAUUGGAAUUACUAUAAUAUGGAUCAAUAUUAAAAAUUCUAAUACUGUAAUUUAUUAUAUACAAGGUGUUUUUAUUUUAAUAUUAAAUUUAAAUUGUUAUUUUGGAUGUAAAAGAGUCAAUUUAAGAUGUGACCUAAAGAAAAUCGAAAGUACGACACGAGAUGCGCCUACUUAUUGUACCAUUAACAUCUUACUGCUACUCAUUCCGCGCGUGUGUGUUUGGUGAUGCGCAAAAAGUAAGAACAAUGUUAGAACAACGACGCGACAAGUUGAAGUUGUUGACUCGAAAAGGAACGUCCGAUUGUUUCGCGCUCGCGUUGCCGAAGAAAUCGUUAAGUUCGCCCGCUCGCCUCACCUAUUAAUAAAAUUCCUCUCAUCCAACACGACAUUUAAAUGUGAAGGUAGACGCUCUUGCACUUUUCCAUGCCUCGGCGCGGCCGCCGCAAUCGAUGUGACUAAUAUACCACACUCGAUUUCAUAACGCGAACGAACCAACCAGCAAAUGUAAAAUGGUACUUCAUUUGCCUUCGACUCGCGUCACGAAUGCAUGUCUUGGCUGCCUUUGCGAACUCAACAACUCAACGGCAUUGCGAAAUCGAUGAGCUGAAGAAGUCGAGCGCCAUGCGGAGGAGAAAAAUUUAGAAAAUGCAAAAAGAGAAUUUUUAGAAUUUUUUUAAACACCAUGUAUAAACUACUUAAGCAAAGAUUUAAAUUUUUAACUAUUUGAAUUUUCUAUAUUUUAAUUUGCAUUUUAAAACGUUAAAAAUUUUAACUUUAAAAAUUAUUUAAAACUUAAGAUACAUAAAAAGAUUAAAUGAAAAACUUACUCUUUUUCACG